AUGAUGGAAUUGGCUGCGUCACCAAACAGGCCAGAAGGCGCAAGCGAGGUGUCCAUGAAGAAGACCCUGUCCUUCUCUUUCAUAUGGGACAAGGUUAACCACAGGUGUCUCUCCACCACCACCAUUGCUGCCAUAGACCUGCCAAUGGCGCUGGCGGUCUCUUUGGUGGCACGGAGAGACAGAUCAGCGGUUAGUGUGAGCUCGGUGAUGUCCUCAGACUUAAUCUUGUAUGUACCAAAACUUUGCAAAGAGUCUAUUAUUACUCCAGUUGCAAAACAUAAUUGUCCUAAAGGCUUGACAGAUUAUAGACUGGUUUUCUUGACCUCGCUUAUAAUGACGGUAUUUGAGAAAUUGGUAAAGGAGGUACUAUUGGAACGAACUACACCAUUUCUCGACCCGAUGCAAUUUGCCUAUAGGGCGGGAAGAGGUGUGCAGGAUGCAACACUGACCUUAUUGGACCUGUUGUACAAACAUCUGGAGAAUAGUAGUAACCAUGCAAGGUUAUUAUUUGUAGAUUUUUCGUCUGCGUUUAAAACGAUUCGACCAAACUUGUUGGUUCACAAGCUUAGGUCGAGUUUUGGUGUGGAUGCAAGAAUGGCUGCUUGGUUGCUGGAUUUCCUUACAAAUAGGUCUCAAAGGGUAAGGGUUAAUGGUGUGCUGUCAGAUCCCAUAAUCACAUCUAUUGGCUCCCAAGACCGAUACUUUCUUAAGUUUGCUGAUGAUACAGUUAUUGUGAGUUUGUUGGUUGGUGAGGAGAGGGAACACGGGCCAAUUGUUAAUUAUUUUGCAAAUUGGUGUCGAGAGGCUGGUCUACUUCUGAAUGCUGAGAAAACCAAGGACAUGUGCAUUGACCUGCGGCAAAACCAGGCAGCAGUUCCAUGUACUUUUGUCGAUAAUCAAAUGAUUGAAUUGGUUGAUAGUUAUAAGUACCUAGGUACUAUCAUCGAUAACAAACUAAAUUUUGCAGAGAAUACUAAGAGAUUGUGCAUGAUGAGCCAACAAGGACUUUAUUGUUUACGGAAAUUAGCGAAAUUUAAUAUUGAUAGGACACUGAUGAUUGCUUUUUAUAAGGCAUAUAUUGAAUCGAUUUUAACUUUAUCAUUGAUUUGUUGGUUUGCCUCUUUAAAGGUCAAACAGAAAAAACUUCUAUUAAAGGUUGUAAAUAAUUGCAGUAAGGUAUUGGGUGUGAAAUUGCCUGAGUCAGAUUUGUUUGAUAUUCAGGUGAUAAAGAAAGUGCAUCACAUUAUAUCUGAUGCAUCUAGCCCUCUUUACGAUUCAUUUUUAGACCCUCCCUGUUUAGCCAAGACUAACAGAUUCAAAUUUUUGUUUGUUCCAUAUGCGAUUAAGGUGCUUCAUUUAAACAGGAAGAGGUAG
rnacentral:lncRNA from 1 species